rnacentral:rRNA from 1 species
GGGUUGCUGGAGGUAUCAGAAGUGCGAAUGCUGACAUAAGUAACGAUAAAGCGGGUGAAAAGCCCGCUCGCCGGAAGACCAAGGGUUCCUGUCCAACGUUAAUCGGGGCAGGGUGAGUCGACCCCUAAGGCGAGGCCGAAAGGCGUAGUCGAUGGGAAACGGGUUAAUAUUCCCGUACUUGGUGUUACUGCGAAGGGGGGACGGAGAAGGCUAUGUUGGCCGGGCGACGGUUGUCCCGGUUUAAGCGUGUAGGUGUGUGUUCCAGGUAAAUCCGGUUCACUUUAACACUGAGGCGUGACGACGAGGCACUACGGUGCUGAAGCAACAAAUGCCCUGCUUCCAGGAAAAGCCUCUAAGCAUCAGGUAACAUCAAAUCGUACCCCAAACCGACACAGGUGGUCAGGUAGAGAAUACCAAGGCGCUUGAGAGAACUCGGGUGAAGGAACUAGGCAAAAUGGUGCCGUAACUUCGGGAGAAGGCACGCUGACACGUAGGUGAAGUGAUUUACUCAUGGAGCUGAAGUCAGUCGAAGAUACCAGCUGGCUGCAACUGUUUAUUAAAAACACAGCACUGUGCAAACACGAAAGUGGACGUAUACGGUGUGACGCCUGCCCGGUGCCGGAAGGUUAAUUGAUGGGGUCAGCGCAAGCGAAGCUCCUGAUCGAAGCCCCGGUAAACGGCGGCCGUAACUAUAACGGUCCUAAGGUAGCGAAAUUCCUUGUCGGGUAAGUUCCGACCUGCACGAAUGGCGUAAUGAUGGCCAGGCUGUCUCCACCCGAGACUCAGUGAAAUUGAACUCGCUGUGAAGAUGCAGUGUACCCGCGGCAAGACGGAAAGACCCCGUGAACCUUUACUAUAGCUUGACACUGAACAUUGAGCCUUGAUGUGUAG